CAAUAGCGUAUAUUUAAGUUGCUGCAGUUAAAAAGCUCGUAGUUGGAUUUCGGGUGGGAAUGGCCGGUCCGCCGUUUCGGUGUGCACUUGCUACGCCCACCUUGCUGCCGGGGACGUGCUCUUGAGUUCACGCUCGGGACACGGAGUCGGCGAGGUUACUUUGAGUAAAUUAGAGUGUUCAAAGCAGGCCUACGCUCUGAAUACAUUAGCAUGGAAUAACACGAUAGGACUCUGGCCUAUCGUGUUGGUCUGUAGGACCGGAGUAAUGAUUAAGAGGGACAGUCGGGGGCAUUCGUAUUUCAUUGUCAGAGGUGAAAUUCUUGGAUUUAUGAAAGACGAACUACUGCGAAAGCAUUUGCCAAGGAUGUUUUCAUUAA
rnacentral:rRNA from 1 species